UACGAGGGGCCCAAACGUUAUUCGGAAUUACUGGGCUUAAAGCGUUCGUAGGCGGCUCGGCAAGUAGGGUGUGAAAGCCCUCGGCUCAACCGAGGAAUUGCGCUCUAAACUACCGUGCUUGAGGAAGCUAGAGGUGAGCGGAACUGAUGGUGGAGCGGUGAAAUGCGUUGAUAUCAGCAGGAACACCGGAGGCGAAGGCGGCUCACUGGGGCUUUUCUGACGCUGAGGAACGAAAGCCAGGGGAGCGAACGGG
rnacentral:rRNA from 1 species